AUGUACCACUCGUACACCCCGGCUCUGAGCGCGCCGUCCGCACCCACCUGACGACCGCUCUCUACCUUUUGUUCGCC
rnacentral:sRNA from 1 species